rnacentral:rRNA from 1 species
AUUGAACGCUGGCGGAAUGCUUUACACAUGCAAGUCGAACGGCAGCACGGACUUCGGUCUGGUGGCGAGUGGCGAACGGGUGAGUAAUGUAUCGGAACGUGCCCAGUCGUGGGGGAUAACGUAGGGAAAAUUACGCUAAUACCGCAUACGAUCUAUGGAUGAAAGCGGGGGAUCGCAAGACCUCGCGCGAUUGGAGCGGCCGAUAGCAGAUUAGGUAGUUGGUGGGGUAAAGGCCCACCAAGCCAACGAUCGGUAGCUGGUCUGAGAGGACGAGCAGCCACACUGGAACUGAGACACGGGCCAGACUCCUACGGGAGGCAGCAGAGGGGAAUUUUGGACAAUGGGCGAAAGCCUGAUCCAGCCAUUCCGCGUGCAGGAUGAAGGCCCUCGGGUUGUAAACUGCUUUUGUACAGAACGAAAAGGUUUCUACUAAUACUAGGAGCUCAUGACGGUACUGUAAGAACAAGCACCGGCUAACUACGUGCCAGCCGCCGCGGUAA